CUGGCUCAGAGUGAACGCUGGCGGUAGGCCUAACACAUGCAAGUCGAACGGCAGCACAGAGGAGCUGCUCCUUUGGGUGGCGAGUGGCGGACGGGUGAGGAAUACAUCGGAAUCUACUCUGUCGUGGGGGAUAACGUAGGGAAACUUACGCUAAUACCGCAUACGACCUACGGGUGAAAGCAGGGGAUCUUCGGACCUUGCGCGAUUGAAUGAGCCGAUGUCGGAUUAGCUAGUUGGCGGGGUAAAGGCCCACCAAGGCGACGAUCCGUAGCUGGUCUGAGAGGAUGAUCAGCCACACUGGAACUGAGACACGGUCCAGACUCCUACGGGAGGCAGCAGUGGGGAAUAUUGGACAAUGGGCGCAAGCCUGAUCCAGCCAUACCGCGUGGGUGAAGAAGGCCUUCGGGUUGUAAAGCCCUUUUGUUGGGAAAGAAAUCCAGCCGGCUAAUACCUGGUUGGGAUGACGGUACCCAAAGAAUAAGCACCGGCUAACUUCGUGCCAGCAGCCGCGGUAAUACGAAGGGUGCAAGCGUUACUCGGAAUUACUGGGCGUAAAGCGUGCGUAGGUGGUCGUUUAAGUCCGUUGUGAAAGCCCUGGGCUCAACCUGGGAACUGCAGUGGAUACUGGACGACUAGAGUGUGGUAGAGGGUAGCGGAAUUCCUGGUGUAGCAGUGAAAUGCGUAGAGAUCACGAGGAACAUCCAUGGCGAAUGCAGCUACCUGGACCAACCCUGACACU
rnacentral:rRNA from 1 species